rnacentral:rRNA from 1 species
AUGGUUAAGUGACAAAGCGUACAGGGCGGAUGCCUUGGCAAUCAGAGGCGAAGAAGGACGUGCUAAUCUGCGAAAAGCUUGGAUGAGUUGAUAAGAAGCGUUUAAUCCAAGAUAUCCGAAUGGGGAAACCCGAUGGAUGAAGAAUCCAUCAUCGUUUAAUGAAUCCAUAGUUAAACGAGGCGAACCGGGAGAACUGAAACAUCUAAGUACCCCGAGGAAAAGAAAUCAACCGAGAUUCUGUGAGUAGCGGCGAGCGAAAGCGGAGCAGCCGUCAGUGAUAGCGACAGGGCGAGGAGAAUGUGCUGGGAAGCACAAUCGCAGAGGGUGAUAAUCCCGUAUCCGAAUGUUCUGUGGUGGUACUAAGCUGACAUCAAGUAGGGCGGGACACGAGAAAUCCUGUCUGAAGAAGGGGGGCCCAUCCUCCAAGGCUAAAUACUCCUGAUUGACCGAUAGUGAACCAGUACCGUGAGGGAAAGGCGAAAAGAACCCCGGCGAGGGGAGUGAAAUAGAACCUGAAACCCUGUACGUACAAGCAGUGGGAGCCUGUAAGGGUGACUGCGUACCUUUUGUAUAAUGGGUCAGCGACUUAUAUUUUGUAGCGAGGUUAACUGAAUAAGGGAGCCGAAGGGAAACCGAGUCUUAACUGGGCGUUGAGUUGCAAGGUAUAGACCCGAAACCCGGUGAUCUAGCCAUGGGCAGGUUGAAGGUUGGGUAACACUAACUGGAGGACCGAACCGACUAAUGUUGAAAAAUUAGCGGAUGACCUGUGGCUGGGGGUGAAAGGCCAAUCAAACCGGGAGAUAGCUGGUUCUCCCCGAAAUCUAUUUAGGUAGAGCCUUGAGCGGACACCUUCGGGGGUAGAGCACUGUUUCGGCUAGGGGUCCAUCCCGGAUUACCAACCCGAUGCAAACUGCGAAUACCGAAGAGUGAUACUCAGGAGACACACGGCGGGUGCUAACGUUCGUCGUGGAGAGGGAAACAACCCAGACCGCCAGCUAAGGUCCCAAAGUUUAUAUUAAGUGGGAAACGAAGUGGGAAGGCUUAGACAGCUAGGAUGUUGGCUUAGAAGCAGCCAUCAUUUAAAGAAAGCGUAAUAGCUCACUAGUCGAGUCGGCCUGCGCGGAAGAUGUAACGGGGCUCAAAUAUAGCACCGAAGCUGCGGCAUCAG